rnacentral:rRNA from 1 species
AUUGAACGCUGGCGGCGUGCUUAACACAUGCAAGUCGAUCGGUAACAGGUGUAGCAAUACAUGCUGACGAGAGGCGGACGGGUGAGUAAUGCUUGGGAAUCUGCCUAUUAGUGGGGGACAACCCGGGAAACUCGGGCUAAUACCGCAUACGCUCUACGGAGGGAAGCCGGGGACCGGCAAGGCCUGGCGCUAAUAGAUGAGCCCAAGUCGGAUUAGCUAGUUGGUAGGGUAACGGCCUACCAAGGCGACAAUCCGUAGCUGGUCUGAGAGGACGACCAGCCACACCGGAACUGAGACACGGUCCGGACUCCUACGGGAGGCAGCAGUGGGGAA